rnacentral:lncRNA from 1 species
CAAGAGACUCAGAUAGCUGAGAUGCAGUGGAGGCUGGAGCUGUCUGCCAAGCUUGAGGCAGUCCUUGAGAAACUGCGGGAGCGGAACCAAGCCACCGCAAACAUCUGCUUGUGCCAGGCAAGUAUACGAGAUAACUUAGGAUUGAGGCUCUAGCUGGCGGAAGCGAGGGCGUCGCGGCUUCUUCUCACGUGCCGCGAGCGCGGGAGGCACCGAAGGCCUUCGCAUACCUGCGCCAGGCUAGCGACACAUAUGGGAUGAUUACACUGCGCAACCCCUAGGCACUGGACGGGGUGAACAGCUUUCGGGCCCAGCGCUCUUGCGAGCCCUAACAGUGUCGAGACCAUCGCACCAGCGUCAGUCAUCGUGGCGUCACUCUGACCCUG